rnacentral:rRNA from 1 species
GUCCCACCCGCCGCCUUAAUACUCAGUGGGCUCGCGUUACUCGGAAUUACUGGGCGUAAAGGGCGCGUAGGCGGCUCUGUGAGUCAGGCGUGAAAUUCCUGGGCUUAACCUGGGGACUGCGCUUGAUACUGCGGGGCUUGAGGCCGAGAGAGGGUGGUGGAAUUCCCAGUGUAGAGGUGAAAUUCGUAGAUAUUGGGAAGAACACCGGUGGCGAAGGCGACCACCUGGCUCGGUACUGACGCUGAGGCGCGACAGCGUGGGGAGCAAACAGGAUUAGAUACCCUGGUAGUCCACGCCGUAAACGAUGUGUGCUGGAUGUUGGGGUUCCUAGAAUCUCAGUGUCGUAGCUAACGCGGUAAGCACACCGCCUGGGGAGUACGGCCGCAAGGUUGAAACUUAAAGAAAUUGACGG